rnacentral:lncRNA from 1 species
GAUUGCAAAUGAAUUGAAUGAAAUCUAAAAGCUCUACUUUUUUUUUUUCACCUGCAUCCGUUCAUUUAAUCUAUAAUCGCAUGUGACUCGACUUUUCUGUUAAUUAGAGAGAUGAAGCUCAGAGAACCACCUGCUGAGGGACAAAAAGAGAACAGGAGGUACAUUUACAUGCUUUUUGAAAACGUGUUUACAUUUAUUUUUCUUCAGAUCUAAAUUUAAAAGAGAAAAAGAAAGAAAGCAGCAGACAGGGAGACAGAGAGAUGAAAAUUUAUGAUGAUUGUGUUUGUGGGACUAUCAGUUUGGCUAAAUUGAAAGUGACCUAACCCCUGCAGAGACAACAAAGCAUUAUUGACACUAAAUGCAGCACAAGAAGACUGCUGAAAGUCCAUUCAUCUCUUUUCUGGCCACAGUCCCUCAGACUGGAGUUAUUAGCCAUUUAGCAGACAUUAGCCUGGCCUUCGUUAGCUAAUGACCUGCCACGUGCAACUCUGCUGCUGAUUCAGCAGAGGCCCGGCCAAAAGUACUGUACAUAUCGCAACAAGGUGCAUUCAAGGGAAAUAAACUCCCAGUGCUGGAAUAACUGUGAGCUGAAACAAUUAAAUGUCAUUGUCUGGCCCUCUGCUUGCAAAAUGGAAAAGUUCACAGCCUGUUUUUUUGCUUAUCUAAUAACAAUCACCUCUCAAGUGCAUGACCUUUUCUGAGAACAGGGAUCAAUACAGCUUGCCAUGAUGUUGCAAACAAACCAGUGUUUACUUUACCUUAGCGUAUCUUUCACUCAUUUAAAAAGGUCAGCAGACUCUGUUAUACUGAUAGACCCAGAACUCUGCCCUUUCCCUUUUAGGAUUGAUCUAAAGGCUGCUGCAGAAUGGACUGUACUCAUUCCUGCUAUCCAUCUUCUGCUCGUGUCAUUUUGUAUGUAAGCCCAUGUGUGUGUGUGGAUAAGAGAGUUUGAACAGCCUGUGUGUACUCAGGCCUCUGGUACAGUUCAUGUAUUGUAACACUCUUCAAAGAGAUAGGUCAAAACAGUGUUUUAUCAUCAAGCAGGCUCGGCUCCUCUUUGAAGGUCUAACCAACGCUCCUCGCAGCCUGGGCCCUCUUUGGGUUUGUGUGCAAAACACUACAGAGGCAGUUGUUGUGGAGGGGAAGCGGCAACGGCGGCAGCUAUUGAAGUUUGGGAAGAAUGAAGGCUGAGGAUUAGGGUGUUCAAACAUCGCUGUCGUGUGCAAGCCUUGAUACGACUGCACCUGGGAACAGACCGUUCUGCAUGGUGGCAGUUUCCCUAAGUACAGGAGCAGAACUGUCGGCGCAACACAGCAGCUUGCAAAGAGAAACAAGAGCAGACACUGACAUGUAAAACAUGCAUUGUGUACAAGUGUGUAAACAAUUGAAAAAUAGAUACAGGAAACCAAGUGAAAAUGAGUUAGGGGGGGAGACAAAAACUGGCACCUAAAGCUUUUAGAAACAGAGACAACAAAGAUGAGCAGCUUUGCUUUAUGAAACUAUAUUCGUGUUUUUGUUUAGUUUAAAGAGCUGCUUCACUCUGGAAAAAAAUGUUUCCAAUGAGUGUACAGUUUUAUGUCAAUUAAAAGGACUAAAUGAGAAAUUGACUUUGUUUUUAUAGCACAUUCUCAGUCCUCUGGUCACUUAGAGGGAUAUUCCAGCGUAAAAUUAAGUUAGGGUCAAACACACUGUAACACUGAGUUAAACACCCCCUUGAGAGAUGAAUGUUGCCGAACACUUGCCUCUCUAGUUCUACCAACUUAGUAACGACUGCAUGAUAGCAAUACACAUUGGUCCCAGGAGCCACGUGCUCAACCAAAAAGCCACUCUAUAGCCACAAAUAAUGCUCAGAACAGCACCUAACUUCAUCAGCAGUACAUAUAGGGUCCUAGCCACAGCACUACCCACCAAACAUCUAUUUAGCUUUGCCUAAUUUCUUCAGCAAAGAGACCAAACACAACUCACCUACUCUCUUCCAGCAGCCACUUGUUUGUAGAAAGACCGCCGGGUGAGUCCAUCUAAUGCAGCGGGGUGAUGCAGCUCAAGGAAGAACAUUUAUGAUCACUUCUUCAUGGAAAUGAAAUCAGACCGAGACCUACCGCGUCUGCAGUGCAAAAUAAGUAAUUUGAUGAUGAUUUCUUUAUUACUUUAUUUAUUUUUUAUACAUUUAUCUUUUAUUACUUUAUUCUUUUGCAUGUGACAUCCACCCAUAUCCAUGCACUGAUGACAGAGGCUGCUAGCUGCUAUGGAGCCCAUCAGUUUUUGACUAAAGCCAUUCACACACCACUGGGCCAAGCUAGGUGGGGUCCAGUAUCUUGCCCAAGGACACUUUGACACAUGGACAGUGGGACCUGGGAUUGACCUUCUGGGAUACUUAUUAACAUACAUACAAAUUAAUAUGUAUCAUGGAUGAGUUGAACCGGACAGACUAGCUGAUAGCUCAUAUUUAACGUUUUAAAUGUUUAGAUAAUUUAUAUAGUACUUAUCCUGCUGUGUUUCUGCAGUUUAAAUCAUGUAUUAUGGAAUCAUCUUUGAAAAGAAACUGGAGUGGGCAGAUAUAAAAGGCAGAAUGCACCUUUAUAUUUUUCUAUAUGUCUACACUGAAAGGAAUAACUAGCCUUGUUGCCAUAAAACUGACCAGUGUAAAGCAUCUGCUCCCCAGUUUCUCAUUCAUUUCAUGCAGAUUGCUUGUUCACCUCUCACAGACACUUACUUUUUAGUGCAUACAUUACUUUAGCAGUAGUUUUAUGUUUUUUUUUCUCAACAUUGACAGAAGUACAGUCACAGUGGAUACUGCUGGGUAAAAAAAUGACUUUACUGUUUCGGUUUUUAGGGUCUCUGUCAAACUUUGAUGAUGUUCACAGGGAAAUGUAAAACUGUUUGCACAUCCUCAUAAAAAUUACAUGAAUCACUUCAAAAGUAUUCACCUGAGAAGACAUCAGAAAUGAGAAAGCAGAGAACCACAGGGUUACAUGAAUGUAAUAUGGCCUUCAGUAUUCAUGUAUCGACAUACUUCAGAGAGGAUGUCCUCUGAGAUGUAAAAAAAACAAGGUAACACAAGCUCAACUGCUGUGACUAAUCUCCAGGAAAGCUUCAACUAUUUUUAAGCUUGCAGCAUAUUCAAGGUGUUAGUGCCAGAGAGGAAAAACUGACUUUCUUAAUGUUUACGUUUACUUUGGAGUCUAUUUUCUACCUUUAAAAGCUCCUUUUACAAGAUGUUUUAUGAUUUAUGUUCCCACAAAAACAAGCAAAAACACUCAGCAUGUAUUUACUGGAUAAACUAAUGCUGACACACCAACACACAAGCUAACUGAUCUGACUGAGGUUUCCCCAUGAGAGUCAAUACACCCGCAUGUUUAGCCUCUGAGCAUAAUUGAUGAAGUGCUGCUGUACUUGUAUUUAUGUCAAUACCACCAACAUCUUUUUUUUCAUCCUUUUCUUGCCGGCUGAAAAAAACAUAAAGCAUACUCCCUUAUAUGUCUCAUUGUCUUUGCAUGUCCUCUGCUCCUCACAGAGAGGAAAACACCAAUAGGAGAAUAUUGAGCCAGAUAACAGAGUAUGACAGUGUUGCCUUAGCGAGGUGUCAGUGACAUUACAGAGGAUUGCUCCUGAAAGUGGAAAAUCCAAUCAGACUGUGACUCUCCCUGGAGCUAAAGGCCCACAGACUACAGAAUGAUUCAUUCAAAUUCUUUGAUCAGAGGGAGUUAUCUCCAUACUCCUCUGGGACUGAAGACAAAAUAAGGAGAAACAGGCCAUAAGGAGAGAGACAAGAAGUCGUCUUUCUACCGACAUAAUGUGGUGCCAGUGUAAUGCAGCAUAGCACUGAAUCAUAGCGGUAAUACUUCAUGAAAUUGUCAGGAAAUUGGGCUUUAUUCUCCCACGUGCUCAUUAUGACACGUUCAAACAAUGUGUAUGUGCUCAGCCUCAAAAAAUAAUACUCUUGUAAUAAUGUGUGCUGAAUAUGAAUCUGUAUCUUUUAGUGAGAAGCAUUAGGGAUCAUGGAAGUUAAAAUAUUGAUAAUGAAAAAAAUGACUAUUUUAUCAUAAGCAGUAAAAAAAUCAUUAAUUUUGCAGUGCCUUUGCAAAUUUAGUAAAAUUGAAGAGAAUAUUUCAUCUUUUCAAUUCAUCUCAGGCCAGCAGUAUGCAGCAAACUGGGUGCCAGUAACGGGAGAGCUUUUCGACACGGCUGAUACUGGAGAAUCAAAAAUACAUUAGAUUGGACAGAAAUAUUUCACAGAACUGCAGGGGUGACCCGAGACGUUAUUAUCAUCAUCAUUCAUUUAGUUCCACCCUGAAAUUGCCCUUGGCUAGCCAGACAUGCAGUCCAAUCUCCAACCUUUUAAAAUCUCUGGCAUGUUUAUGCCCUUUUUUUUUCCCAUUGUGUGAAUGGCUGCUGCUCAGGCGGGAGGGCAUGUCAUUAAAAGAUCAUGAGCACAUGACCAGGGGGCUGUGGGUUUACGGUAAGACACAAAACAAAUAGCGUAUUCUUUUUAUUUUAUAUUCAUUCCCUUCACAGAUGCUGAUGUUGUGACCCACAAGUCAAGGACAGGGCAAUGCUUCCACAGUGGCAUCUGUGCAUUACACUCAGCCAUAUGUUAUUUUUCUCCUUCUAAAAAUAACACAUUUGUACUGUAUACACAGUGUACUAUCAUGCUUUAUGGACCAUUCUGUGGCUUGGCAAUAAGAUAUAUUUAUUUAAAGCUUCAGAUAGGAGGUUUUUAACUGGUAAAUAAAACAGACUGAAAUGAACAGGGGUGCCCUAUAUAUUGGCUGCAAAGGUAUUUCUUUUUAAGUAUUUUUUUGGGGCAAUUUUGCCUUUUAUUGACAGUACAGACUGAAAUGUGGGGAGAUAGAGAGAGGGAAGAAGACAUGCAGCACAUGGUCGAGGCCUGACUCGAACCCGACUGUGGUCCCCAUACAUAAGGGUGACCUUUUACCCGGACAUGUCAUCUUUUUUGGGGACUGUCCAGGCUGUCCGGCCUUCUCCGGCUUUGUCCAGGGAAGUUUAUAAAAUCCUUCAAAUGUCCAGGGUUUUGUAUGGAAGUUUUGAGUUUGUGUCGCGUAGACUUAUUGAGUUAGAGGCGCGUAAAAACACUCAAUCCGACCUGAAAAACUCUUUUGGGGAUUCAGAAUAUGGUCACUCUACCAUACAUGGGGCGCGCUAACCCACUUUUCUACGCGCCCCUUGAGGCGCGUAAAAAACACUUGAUCUGACCUGCUCAGCCGUGCAUCAGCAUAUCUGUGCAAUAUUGUUUGUGCUUAUGAGGGGACCCAAGCUGAACACAUCCAUCUUUAGAAACUACAAAAAAUUCACAGCAACACCUUCUGGUAACAGGAAGUCACUGCCUUCAAAUGACCAUUGUUAAAUUCUGUUUGGUUUAGUGAGUUUGGGCCAAAAAAUCUUUUGGUACAAACCUCUCACUGAAUGUAAACACCUGCUAUUAAAAAAAUAAAAUAAAAAAAGACGUUUUUCAGGUUGCCGUCAACUGUCUUGUCUGACCCCUGUAAUUUAGAAAUGAUCAGUUUUGGAGCUGAUGAUUUGUAGCUCAUAAAGAGGCCUCAGAGUUUAUUUCAAUCUACCUCACAACCAGUUAAAAAGUCCUCAUUGGAGUUUAAUUCAAUAAACAUGUUGUGUUUUAAAAAUGCAUUUCUGAUUUGCAAGACUUCUUGUCACCUCUUCAUAAUAAAAACAAACCAGCGGCGGUGGGAAAUGUUCCAUGGGCAUUAGCAUUGUACUGAGACACCCCUCCAGGCAUCUAAGACAAAGAGAGCAGAUAGUGAGGCUGAAAACACUGAUAUCACAAGCAGUAACUCUGAGCUGCAUGCAUGCAUUACGGUCUGUGAAUUCUAGACAAGUGAUUUGAAUGCAGAUCAGGAUUCAUAAACUGUACAAUUAAGAGUGGCUACAAUAUUUGCCAGUGAAUUUUGAAACAUUUAAUGGUGAUGUAAAAACAAAUAUGGGCAUGAAAAAAAAACUUAGUUUUGUUUGAUGAAGAACUUCAGAGGCCUGUUGCAUGAGCACCUUAAAAAGGUGACUUCACAGAUGUGACUUUAUUGAUGGGACAGCUGAGGAGCGCCAAGAAAUGUGGAGAGUGGAUAAGGGGGGUAGGCAUCUAGUAAAGGGGUCGUGGCUGAGACUGGCGUCUGCUGUGUUGAGGACUAUAGCUUCUGCACAUUAGGUGCACGCUUAUGCUUACUGGUGCCCUGUGAAAAAACCCUUACCAACAGGGUAUCAUCAUAGUGCUAACUCAGGCUAAAGUGCAGAUCAUGGUCAUCAAGUGAUAUAUAGUGGAGAAUACACAGACAACAUAAAACAGCGAAUAAAAUCCUCUUAAAUUGACAGCUGGCGUUUAAGCAAGAACAUUAAUGUGAAUUUAUGCUGUUGCUUAUGAAUGCAUUGUAAAUAUCUCAUUUGGUGCAACCCUUAAAUGCAGUGCAAACUCUAGUCUAAGUUAGAGACUACAUUCCAGUUAUGGCUAUGUUUGAAUUUAUGCAUUGCAGGUGCAACCCGGUGCAGGACUGUAAGGAUUUAGAGGCAACCUUCCAGCCAACAUUAUAUCACAGGAAGUCUAUGUAAAGAAUUCAUUUCUUGGUAUUUAUGUGCUACACAUGUGAAAAUGUCUUGCCACCACAUUUCUAUCUGCCUUUAUCCAUUUACCUGUCACUAUAAUGAGAAAUAACAGUAAGCCAUAAAGGUGAGGGCAUCAGCUGUUUUAUAUGUGCUAUAGUCGUCUACCGGCCACUGAGCGAGUGGUGACGGUAAAUCCUGAUCUGCUCCAAACCAGUAAUGUGCUUUUUAACUGUUUAUCUGUGAAACUGGAUUCUUUGUCAGGGUUUAUCAAGAUAACAUCAGUGAAAUAGUGUCUGAGCCUUAUCUACGGGGGAGAAAAAUCAAACAAUUAGACUCUGCAUUGGCGAUAAGAAUCUGAAAUUACAACUUUCCAUUUCCUUAGAGACAAGGAAAAAUUGGGGCUGUUUGCACGCAGGAGAAAAUUGCCACAAUACAAUUAUUUUGUCAGCAAUGACUUGUAUAUAUUUCCUGUGUAUUGACCGCAUUCUGUGGACCAAAAGGUACAUGCUUCUUUUUUUCCUUCCUCUCAUUUAUUCUCAGGAUGGUGCUUCCACCAUAAAUCUCUGUCAGGCUUUUAUUUUGUAUCGAUCUCAGAAGUUGCUAAGUAGCAUGUUGGGGCUGGGACCAUUUUAGCUGCUGAGGAGACAAAUGAAUGGAAUUGAUUUGGUGGAUUAGAAUUAGGCAUUUAUCUUUGGUGGCCAUUGUGCAUUACGUGCAGUUUUCAGUUUCUUCCCCUGUGUUACCUUUUUCAGCAGGGGUGGCCUUUGACUGAACAACAUUGAGUGUGACACAGAAGAGCAAAUAUUGAAAGCUCUCUCUAUUAACAAUAUAGAAAAUCAAAACCUCAGUCUGGAGGGGAAUUUGGACUCAUUUGUCUAUGUAUUUAUGUUUUUAUUUUUAUUUUUGCUUUUAUUCCUCAACAGUAUAGUGUUGAUGAUUUAUUUUCAUUGUGAUAUGUUUGAGGUUGUUUGGAGAUUUGGCUUUCCUCUCCUCUCCAGAUACUUGCCUCAUUUGUCUCUUGUUUGGUUUGGCUGCACUGAUAACACAGACCCAGCUUAUCAGAGCUUGUUUUUUUUUUUAAAUUGCUGCCUGCCUCUUGUGGAAAUUGUCUUGAUGAGAACACUGUGACCCAACCAUACAGUCAAAGCAAAACAAUGAGUUUAAAACGGCAAAAAGCUUCAGUGAUAUUUAUGCAUGUUUAUCGCUGGGAGCAACUCUGCUCAUAGACUUUUGAUUCAAUUUUAAUGCAAAAUACAUUGAUUCAUUAAGCUUUAAAUCAAAAACUGAACAAAAUAAUUUGUUCAUCCCGCUUCCCUUGUGGCCAUUGCACUACGAGCAAUAUUGUAUAUAUUUGUCAGCCUCCACAUUACCUAAUGAGGGAUUUAUUAAAUUCUCUCUUUUUUCUGCUGUUGAAUUUAGUUCAUACAGCUAAAUGGAAAUACUCUUCAGCUGAGCCAGCAGACCACCCAUCCUGGCCCCCAGUGAUUUUAUGACAGCUUCCUCCCCCCCAAACUUCCGAGCAGUUGCACCCCGAGGUGACAGGCACGUCACCAUUAUUUACCCUCAUGCUUCCACUCGCAGAAUCAGCAACUGGCUCAAAGGUCAGCAGGCCGCGUCUGUCUGCGUCUCAGCCACCAGGCACUCACUCUUUUCUCAGAUCGCCCGCGCCUCACGGACACUCCAGGGAAAUGCGAUAUCCCCACAGCUGCAGCUACCAGAAACAACAAGUACAGAGUGUGUGCAGUCCCAUGGCACAGUCAUGGCAAUGACAAAUAGAUCUAAUUAAAUAACAAUUCAUACUAACGUGAUCUUUGCUCUCUGGAUCCCCUGAUCUGCUGCUUAACUCUAUCCUUUGGAGAAUUAACCUACAUGGCUUAUUAAGUAACAGUAACUCAGUGAAUGCAGACGGUAAAGCAAGGCCCUGUUUCUACGAGGAUGUUUUUGUGCUGAAAGAAUUUAAAACUCUUUUUUUUUCAUAAAGCAAUUAAUCUCCAGCAUAUUACUUAAAGUAUUAAUAUUAGGGUGGUGUUUACUGUGAUUAAAAAGAGAAGACAGCCAUGUUUUCUGAGAAUUUUACAUAUUGUGUUAACCAUUUGCUGAAUCCAGUCCUGAUCAAAAUCUUACACAGUGGUGUUGUCUUCUCCGUCUAUAUAAAUCUUACAAUGAAGAUAAAAAUGUGAAGAAUAUAUUAAACAUUUUUGUAAGUUUUUCUCAUUGACUGGAUAUACUAUGGACAACUUGGUUCCACCUUCCGCCAGUAUACCGGUUUGAAGCCAAAAAGCUCUUGUUAUUUCCGCAAUUUUUCUCCAUUUCCUGAAACCAACAUUGCGCAGUAGCAUUGUACGCAUUCGGUGGGAGAGUUGCCGGGAGUUGUUGUGGUGACAAACAAUGUUUGAACAGCUGUACGAAGCUGUACAGAAAAAAGAGGACUUGAGUAUAAACCAGUCUUACAAUAACUACAUUUCAACAUCGCAAGAAGGGGGGAGAAAAAUGUAUAUUCUGUGUAAUUAAUUUCUAAAGUUUGUCCACAGCCCCAUAAGCUUUGCUGGAGGAGGCGGGAUUUAUGACCUAUACUGCAGCCUGUCACCAGGGGGUGCUGUUCUCGGGUAGCUUCACCCAGCAAGGAGGCAGACGGCGUCCAUUCUAUAUACAGUCUAUAGUUUUUCUUCUGUAUCAGCAACAAUUAUUUGCAGCUAACUGACAACCUUUGGCUACAACCUCACAGAAAGGUAGAGUUAGCAUAUCGCUAUUGUAUUGCUAAUUGUGUCUUUGGGUUUAAAUGUUUUGGGAGAAAAGUGAGUGAUUCACUCAGGAAUCUGUGUUUUCUGGUUCCUGUACUCUCACACGAACAGUUUGUUGGUGCAAACACACAUAAUUUGCCCACACAUAACAAAGCCUCAAUCCUGUAGCAUAACAAAAAGUAGCUAGCAUAUUCAAACUAAUUUUAGUCUGCUUUUAAUUAGAUCAUUUUGACGUGGUUAUUUUAUUAGUCCCAAAUAAUAGAAUUAGCAGUGAAGCUAGCCAAGGCUGGCAAAAAUCUGCUCACUAUGGUAAUCCUGCAAAAUGAUGCCAGCGAUACAAAGCCUAUUUUUCCACCUUUGUUGAAUUUAAAGAGCCAUGUUACCCGCAUUUGUGCUAAUUUCCAUAAAGAAAAUUGAGAUGAUAACCAUUCACCAUCAGCCCUCUUUCUAUGACAAAGAUGAGACAAUGCAAGCUAAAUACUCUACAUAUGAUAAAAUUUAGAUAAAUUGAAUGAGAUGUUUCUUUGUAAUGAUUAACUUAAAAUCAUUAACUGUCUGUUCAUUAUUAUUACUAUUACUAUUAAUAAUAAUAAUAAUAAUAAUAAUAAUAAUAAUAAUGUCAUUUUCCAGACUGACUGACAAAAGAGAUUUACUGGCACCAUCACUUAUGUUGUAGAGAAAUAAGCAUCUUCUGUGUAACUCCUGGUUCUAAGAUAUAAAAUAUAUUAUUAACACAAUUUUUUAAAGCAGUAUUUUAAUUUUUUUUAGAUUUCUAUUUAUUCUUCUUGGUCACAGAAUGAGAACUUAUUUACUUUACUAAAAAUGUGAAAUUAGGUUUUGGGGAUUAAAGGAUAGAAAUGGUUAAAGAGAUUCACAAAAAUAUGUAUAAAGCAGUCUGGUUUAGUUUGGGCUGUUUUUGCAACAAGUCUUCAAAGCAAAGCAGUAAAAAAAAAAAAGAUUUGAGUCAAUUAUAGUAGAAAUAUCAGGUUUUCCCACUUAGAGAGUGUUAUUGCUUUCUAAAGAAGGUUACAUUCUGCUCACAUCCAUCACCUACAUGCCUGGAGGGAGUGUGAAACCACAAGACAGCUGCUCAGUACAUGUGUGAUGUCUUCAUUGUAUGUGUGUGGACCAGUCACAGGCUGGACAGUGUCAUGACAUGGAUGCUGAAAGCUAUAGGAGAGAAAAUGGAGCUCUGGCCAUCAAUAACGCCUGCAUAAAAACUGUAUCACACUAUAGUAUAGGGGCUGGAAUGUGACACUCCAUUGCACUUGAUUACAGCUGUACCAGUGCUCCCCUACAUGUGUACGUGAUCAGUGUAAUCUGGUAUAUCCCACAGUUAUAUGAUUAACAACACAAGACACAGAGCUUCUCGCCCGGUUCCAAAUCUGGCCUGUGCCUUUGGCCGAAUGUUUUACAACUCAGCCCAGUGGAAGGCAGACACACAACAUUAGCUCUGCUGUGUUAUGCUUGAAGGCAGGUGACUAUUUUUUCAGAGUAAAAGUUUGUUAGUGGUGGCAGAGGAGGAACACUGCUUCCAAAUCUUUGCAGCCAGACUCACUUUCAACAGCCAAAUGCACAGCAAGGACAGCGUAUCGAUCCAAACUUCAUGCUAAGUAUGCAUGAGCAGUCCCUGUCGGAUGAGCAGACGGUACGGGACUUUGUUUUGAAAUACUGUGACCAUGAACAUGGAAAGGAGGAAACACUGCACAUCUCUGCCAAGGGGGAACCGACAUUAUAAUUCAUUACUGCCAUGAGUUUUUUUCUUUUGUUCCAGGUUUGCAUACAAAUUAUUCUAAAAGAUCAAGAGACAGUAGUGCAAGAAGCAGAUCCAACAUAAAGACAAUGUUUAAGCCUAAACAUAUUGAUUUAAAAAGCCAGAAACAUGAACUCUUACUGUUUAUAAGGGCUCUGCCAAAGGAGACGGUCCAAGAGAAAACACGACCUAAAUUUAAAAGGGACUAUUUUUAGCUGCAGAUCAAUACAAACUGAGUACAUCAGGAGGUUGCAUAUGGCACUGAGUCGACGAAACUGCGUGUUUUUAUGCUUUUGGAGCAUUUAAGCAUGUGGAUUUUAGACAAUAGAGGACAUGUAUGUCACAUAAAAUGAACUGGCAUUUUCAGUGUCACACUUCUCUACACAUAUAAUCAUGUCACCAUGAUCCAUGUACUAUCACUCUAACUUUUUAAAGAAAUAAAAUGACUCUUUAGCGUUAACAACAUAAAAAGCCUCAUGAAGUGAAGAAACGGGACUGUCCAGAGUUUAGUUGAGUGGGAGGCACACAUACUAAAUGGUUAAACCUUUCACCUAAGGUACAAAUUAUUUUUAGUUCAUCCAACAGUGGAGCAUCAAGGUGUCAGAUGUUGUGUAUGUUCCAGUGAUAAAUAUCUAGUGAGUCCUGGUGCCAGUCGAGCCAUGGAGAUCACAGCAUCACAGCUGUGAGGCACAACAUCAAAGGACAGUCCUAACGUGUGAGCUGAUGUUGACAGUUUUCAGCUUGAUGUCUAAUUCAAUCCCUGAACUCACCGGCUGCCAGGAAACAUCCAGAAUUAGCAGUUGUUUAAACAUUUACUUUCAGAGCUGAAUGACUGGAAAGAAAGUCACUAAGGCAAUAAAAGUAUUAGGUGGAAGUAGGGGAGAGUGGGAAUGGUCGUAACACUUUUAGCGUCAGUAUCUAAUGCUGCGUUCGAGUUACCUCGGAAGUCAGAUGUCCGAGCUGGGAAUGACGUCACAGAUGAGUAACCAGCGUUUCAGUAACCAAGUCGGAAAAAAGCAAAAUCGGAGGCGGAAACAAGAUGGAUACAUCUACGAUUUUAGCGUUUCUUAUUUUAGUUAUUUAAAGUAUUUUAGCAUCCCCUUUCCUAGAUGUAGCCAUCUUUUUUCUGCCUCUGAUUUAGUUUAUUUCCGACUUUGUAACUGAAACGCUGUGACGUCAUUCCCAGCUCGGACACCUGACUUCCGAGGUAACGUAAAGUAUCACAUUUGUUUACCACAAAAAAAAACCUUCUCAGUCCUCUGAAAAAAUAUCAUAAACCUCAUGAGCUGGUGUCAAAAACAGGGUGUUCGUUUGAUAUGUAGCAUAGGUUGUAACACAUGCAAAUAAGUUGCAAAGACAGAGACUACAUCAUGUAGAUAGGAGAAAAUGGUGGCAUUUCAUUUCUCCCCAUGAUACAACCAUCCCUGGUCUCCACUACACAGCCAUUUUUUUUUAUCAAACAGAAUAAAUAUUUUAUUUAAACACCAACUUUCAUUACCACUAUCCGGAAAUAACUAAUCUUCUCUGAUGAACUAGCUAUUUUAGACAGAAGCAUGUAUGCCAUCUCCAACUGAAGCCAUUACACACAGAUCUCCCUUCCAUCACUCAAAAAAACUACAUCUUGGAAAAUGUGGGUGUAAAUGAUGAAGCAUUCAGCCAUACUUUAUGAUACAGUUUGGAGGCAUAUAACAUGUGCCUUGCACACACACACACCCACACACACGCAGUGAAACAAAAAAGAUCCAGGGGCAGUCAUGUCACUGGCAGAUAGCAGCUGGCUUGGCUUGUCAGCAUGUGAAAGCAAAAGAGGGUGGAAAACAAUGCGAGGGCAUAGCUGGUGACCUCUCUGCAUCUGCACCUCCGAUGGACCAUUAACCACUCAGCAUCCACACUGUACUAGUUAGUGUGAGGCAUUACAGGAAACCACACAGACCUACGCUCGCAUUUACUGAAGAGUUUGUUUAAAAACGAUGUGCGAACACGCUCUGGGGAUGUCUACAUUAGAGUUAUCAGUCAUCCUUUAAAAGCGUCUUGUGGUGUGUUUUUACUGAAACAUCACCUCUGAUACGAGCAAAAUUUGACUUGAGUUGAUUUUAAAAAUACACAGAUAUGGGUGAAUUUAUCUUGUCAAAAAUAACGAGUUUAAAAAGAUUUGUGCGACCCCCUCAAUCACAGCAGGUAGGCUGUUUCCUUGUAAACAAAUCCCGCCCACGUUUAUUUGGUAUAUGUUUUUUGUUAUAAUAACCACAAAGCUCUGCUCUGCAUGGUGAGACACACAUCCUCAGAGACCUCUCUUCAUUCUGUCUGUAAGCUUACUAAGUCGCAUAAUCACUUGGUUGCCUCUGAAGAAGAGAGAGAAAGUUUGUUGAGGUAACAGCGAUACACACCAAUGACACAAACAGCUCACCGUCCCUGUUGUUUUAAACAUGACUCGGUGUCUGCAAAGGCACCGAAAGUGAUGCACAUCUCUCACUGAGGAUUACUGCAGCCGUCCAACCAUCCCUCAACCAAAUGUCCAUCUGUCUGUCAAUCCAUCCAUCAUUAGUCACACAUCCUCUUAUUUAUUUGUGCAAUCAGUAUCUAUCAGUGUGUCAGUCACCUUGUUAUCGAUAUAUCCUACAAUCAAUCCACCGAAAAACAAUAAUCAAUACAUUCAUCAGUCCCCAGUCAUCAUGAGAUGGAUCCAUACACAGAUCUCUAUGUCCAUCUCUGUAUUCAUCCAACCGUUUCUUAUUCUAUCUAUCCAUACUUCCAACCAGUACAAAUCUGUCUGCUGUCAAUCCAUCUAUCCAUCCAUAUUUUUAUAGAACUUUUCACUCUUUCCUGUACCUUUUUGACCGUCCAUCUAUCCUCCACCCUGUCAUCUAUAACCUUCAUUUAUAUAUUCAUUAUAGAUCACGAUCAUUUACUCGUCUAUUGACUCUGACAGCCACUUGUUUAUCAGCUUUUUGUCCUUUAAUCAGUUUAUCAGUCAAGUCAUCUAUCCUCUUACCCAUCUGUCAAUUUGUUAUGCCAUCCAUUCUUUCUUUCAGUCAUCUACCAUUCCUGACAUCAGUGCUUCUAUUGAUUACAGAUAAAUCUAUUCAUUUGGUUGGUUUAUUUACCCCUUCUACUCUGUCAAUUUAUCCAUCACAUGUCAUUUAUUUAUUUGCUUUCUCAUUCAUUCAUCUCAUCUCAUCCAUCCAUUGUCCUUCUUAAAUGAAUGUAUACAUCACUUAACUGUUUUAUCCAUCUUUUUUAUCUUCUCAUUUAUCUACCCACCUACUGUAUCUCUUUAUUCAUGAAACCAUCC